GAUGAAAACGCAGCGAAAUGCGAUAAGUAAUGUGAAUUGCAGAAUUCAGUGAAUCAUCGAAUCUUUGAACGCACAUUGCGCCCCCUGGUAUUCCGGGGGGCAUGCCUGUCCGAGCGUCAUUACAACCCUCAAGCUCAGCUUGGUGUUGGGCCCCGCCGCCCCGGCGGGCCCUAAAGUCAGUGGCGGUGCCGUCCGGCUCCGAGCGUAGUAAUUCUUCUCGCUCUGGAGGUCCGGUCGUGUGCUCGCCAGCAACCCCCAAUUUUUUUCAGGUUGACCUCGGAUCAGGUAGGGAUACCCGCUGAACUUAAGCAUAUCAAUAAGCGGAGGA
rnacentral:misc_RNA from 1 species